GUGCAGCUAUUUUAUCGUCUCCGAUGAUGAUAUCGUUCAACACAUUUCUAACUAUAAUGAGUCAAACAUAGUUUGAUCGAAGAGAUUAUGUGGUCCUCUCACAUAAGGAUAACGUAAAUUAAUUUCAUUGUGUCGAAGUCCGUGUUUCACAAAAACUUAGAUCGUAAACAUGACGUCAUAAAAAACUGACUGAAUCAAUACAACAUCUUCAUAUUUUUAUUUUAAACAUUCAAAUCGGAUGAAUUUAUUUUUCACCGGAAAUCCGUUCUUUACACUACCGACAUAUCAAUCGUUUUGCUUGUGUAGCGUUCAGAUGAUUUGAUACAACUUUAAUAUUUAUAUAGGAAAACAUGUGUCUGUCAAAGAGAUUGUAACUGAAAUAAAAUUGAACGUAUUAAAUGACUUGAACUAAGGUCUUCUAUUAAGAAUGAUUAGGUCAUUUUCAUAUCGAUGAAAGAAAUUUAAAACAAAAGAUAAACU
rnacentral:lncRNA from 1 species